UAUACAUAAACACAAAUGGAUAAAAACACCCCUAUGAAGCAAAAAAGCAGCUAGGAACCCUUCAAACAUCCAGACGCCCACCAACCUUGGAACCAACAUCGCAUCUUCAUCAAACCCGCACCAUGAACUCAUGGCAGAUACUAAUCAUCAUGACCCUCUCCCCCUCACAUUUUAUCCCGCCUUCUGCCACAAGAUCUCACCCACCUUUUUCACCUGGGUGAAAAUGGCUGCAGCCGAUGUGCAUCGCCUGAACCUCCGGCCAGGAUUCGAGUGUCAGAACAUCUGUUUCUAUCUCAACCACCCCAUCCAAUUCAUCUGCGCAGCCGGCAUCAUCGUCGCGCGAGACGAGCAGGAACGCCGCUCGAUCCUCGUUCUCGACGACAGCUCCGGCGCCUGCCUUGAGGUUGUGUGUUCGAAGAAUACGCAGGAAGUUCAUAGCAAUACCAAUACCAUCACCAGCAGCAACACCAACAACAACAACAUGGACAACACCACACCAUCCCAACCCACCCACCUAACUUCCGCCACCAAAAAGCCGCUCAAUAUCACUCCGCUGCUCCCAGGCGUCCGUGCAAAGCUCAAAGGCACCAUCUCCUACUUCCGCGGCAUGUUCCAGCUCUGUCUCGAACGCUACGAAAUGCUACACAAUAUGACUGCAGAGGUGCACUUCUGGGAUGAGAGGACGAGGUUUCGCUUGCAGGUUCUCUGUGUGCCGUGGGUGGUGACUCAGGAAGAGGUGGAAAAAUUGAGGGGAGAGGCGGAGGGACUUACAGCGGCGUCCGCAGCGAGGAUAGGCGGGGUUGGGGGCUGUGAUGUUGAUUUAAAUGCGGAUGGGCAUGUUGUCGCG
rnacentral:sRNA from 1 species